rnacentral:rRNA from 8 species
GUUCGGAUCGCGGCGACGUGAGCGGUUCGCUGCCCGCGACGUCGCGAGAAGUCCACUGAACCUUAUCAUUUAGAGGAAGGAGAAGUCG